GGCGGACGGGUGAGUAAUGCUUAGGAAUCUGCCUAUUAGUGGGGGACAACAUUCCGAAAGGAAUGCUAAUACCGCAUACGUCCUACGGGAGAAAGCAGGGGACCUUCGGGCCUUGCGCUAAUAGAUGAGCCUAAGUCGGAUUAGCUAGUUGGUGGGGUAAAGGCCUACCAANGCGACGAUCUGUAGCGGGUCUGAGAGGAUGAUCCGCCACACUGGGACUGAGACACGGCCCAGACUCCUACGGGAGGCAGCAGUGGGGAAUAUUGGACAAUGGGGGGAACCCUGAUCCAGCCAUGCCGCGUGUGUGAAGAAGGCCUUUUGGUUGUAAAGCACUUUAAGCGAGGAGGAGGCUACUAGUAUUAAUACUACUGGAUAGUGGACGUUACUCGCAGAAUAAGCACCGGCUAACUCUGUGCCAGCAGCCGCGGUAAUACAGAGGGUGCGAGCGUUAAUCGGAUUUACUGGGCGUAAAGCGUGCGUAGGCGGCUGAUUAAGUCGGAUGUGAAAUCCCUGAGCUUAACUUAGGAAUUGCAUUCGAUACUGGUCAGCUAGAGUAUGGGAGAGGAUGGUAGAAUUCCAGGUGUAGCGGUGAAAUGCGUAGAGAUCUGGAGGAAUACCGAUGGCGAAGGCAGCCAUCUGGCCUAAUACUGACGCUGAGGUACGAAAGCAUGGGGAGCAAACAGGAUU
rnacentral:rRNA from 1 species